AGUUUGAUCCUGGCUCAGGACGAACGCUGGCGGCGUGCCUAAUGCAUGCAAGUCGCACGCACUCGCUUCGGCGGGUGAGUGGCGCACGGCUGAGUAACACGUGGGAACCCGCCCCCCGGUGGGGGAUAACGCGACGAAAGUCGCGCUAAUCCCGCAUACGUCCGCAGGGGGAAAGCGCUUCGGCGCGCCGGGGGAGGGGCCUGCGGCCCAUCAGGUCGUUGGUGGGGUAACGGCCUACCAAGCCGAUGACGGGUAGCUGGUCUGGGAGGAUGACCAGCCAGACUGGGACUGAGACACGGCCCAGACUCCUACGGGAGGCAGCAGCAAGGAAUUUUCGGCAAUGGGCGCAAGCCUGUCCGAGCAACGCCGCGUGCGGGAUGACGGCCUUCGGGUUGUAAACCGCUUUUCGGGGGGACGAUGAUGACGGUACCCCCGGAACAAGCCCCGGCUAACUCUGUGCCAGCAGCCGCGGUAAGACAGAGGGGGCGAGCGUUGUCCGGAGUCACUGGGCGUAAAGCGCGCGCAGGCGGUCGCCAAAGUGUCGUGUGAAAGCCCCCGGCUCAACCGGGGGAGGCCAUGGCAAACUCGGCGACUGGAGCGGCGGAGAGGCCCCUCGAAUUGCCGGUGUAGCGGUGAAAUGCGUAGAGAUCGGCAGGAAGACCAAGGGGGAAGCCAGGGGGCUGGCCGCUGGCUGACGCUGAGGCGCGACAGCGUGGGGAGCGAACCGGAUUAGAUACCCGGGUAGUCCACGCCGUAAACAAUGACCACUCGGCGUGCGGCGACUAUUGACGUCGCGGUGCGCCUUAGCUCACGCGCUAAGUGGUCCGCCUGGGAACUACGAGCGCAAGCUUAAAACUCAAGGAAUUGANGGGGGCCCGCACAAGCAGCGGAGCGUGUGGUUUAUUCGAGGCACCCGA
rnacentral:rRNA from 1 species